GACGAACGCUGGCGGCGUGCUUAACACAUGCAAGUCGAACGGAAAGGCCCUGCUUUUGUGGGGUGCUCGAGUGGCGAACGGGUGAGUAACACGUGAGUAACCUGCCCUUGACUUUGGGAUAACUUCAGGAAACUGGGGCUAAUACCGGAUAGGAGCUCCUGCUGCAUGGUGGGGGUUGGAAAGUUUCGGCGGUUGGGGAUGGACUCGCGGCUUGUCAGCUUGUUGGUGGGGUAGUGGCUUACCAAGGCUUUGACGGGUAGCCGGCCUGAGAGGGUGACCGGCCGCAUUGGGACUGAGAUACGGCCCAGACUCCUACGGGAGGCAGCAGUGGGGAAUAUUGCACAAUGGGCGGAAGCCUGAUGCAGCAACGCCGCGUGCGGGAUGACGGCCUUCGGGUUGUAAACCGCUUUCGCCUGUGACGAAGCGUGAGUGACGGUAAUGGGUAAAGAAGCACCGGCUAACUACGUG
rnacentral:rRNA from 1 species